rnacentral:lncRNA from 8 species
CUCACUGUUUUGAUAUGGCCAAUACAUUAUGGUGCUAUCUGGACCUGCAUGGCAAUGAAGCAAGGUAAUUUUCAGAUUUUCCAACCUGCAGAGUACAUUCACUUUCCUUUCUCUCUCCCGUUUUCAGGCUUCACUGUGUCUUCAUCGAAGGCGGUUGCGGGUCGCGUUCCGUCGGGACCCACUGUCUCAUUCUCCUUAUUAAGAACCUGUCCUGAGACACAACAAUAAACACACACACAGCCAGCUUCUGUCCUCAGCUCACACCUAAACUGGAUGGAGGUUGGAGACAACUCUUUAUCCCAGGAUAGUACCUGUCUACAUUGAUCCCUGGUCUCGGGCCUUUAAGAACCACAGCUGGGAUCAGGUAAUGCAUUCUAAUGGGCAAGAGAAACAGCCACUCGGGGUAAGGAGCCAAUGCAGCGAUGCGGAAGGAAUCAUAAGGCCAUGUGACGCAGAACUGGACGGUGUUCAGAUGUCAACACCUUCUGCAGCCUGGUUGAUGGAUGAGAGCCGGGUGGCAUAUACACCAGCAUACAGCACUGACCUACUUAUUUCAUAGACCAUUGACCACACUCAUGUAUUCCCUAAGUGUGUGUGUGUGGGGGGGGGGGGGGGGGGGGGGGGGGGGUUGAGAUGGACUAGAGGUGUACUGGUCCGGAGAGGCUGCUGAGGACAGGUAAUGGCAUCAUUGAUCAUCACAGUGGUCCCCAAAGGAUGGUCUGUCUGACCGUCGUCAAGGCCCAGUCAAUCAAUCAAAUGUAUUAAUAA